CCAGGAUCAUCAUCGUGCUGAAGAACAGGAUUUAUGUUUACAGUUUUCCAGAUAAUCCGGUCAAACUGUUCGAGUUUGACACCAGAGACAACCCCAAAGGCCUGUGUGAUUUAUGUCCCAGUCUGGAGAAGCAGCUGCUGGUGUUUCCGGGUCAUAAAUGCGGCAGCCUGCAGCUGGUCGACUUGUCCAACACCAAGCCGGGGACGUCGUCCGCCCCGUUCACCAUCAACGCCCACCAGAGCGAGAUCGCCUGCGUGGCGCUCAACCAGCCCGGCAGCGUGGCGGCGUCCGCUUCUCGUAAAGGAACGCUCAUCCGCCUGUUCGAUACCACGACCAGAGACAAACUGGUGGAGCUGCGCCGAGGCACCGACCCCGCCACCCU